rnacentral:rRNA from 1 species
UGGAGCAUGUGGUUUAAUUCGAUGCAACGCGAAGAACCUUACCUACUCUUGACAUCCAGAGAACUUAGCAGAGAUGCUUUGGUGCCUUCGGGAACUCUGAGACAGGUGCUGCAUGGCUGUCGUCAGCUCGUGUUGUGAAAUGUUGGGUUAAGUCCCGCAACGAGCGCAACCCUUAUCCUUUGUUGCCAGCGGUCCGGCCGGGAACUCAAAGGAGACUGCCGGUGUCAAGCCGGAGGAAGGUGGGGAUGACGUCAAGUCCUCAUGGCCUUUAUGACCAGGGCUACACACGUACUACAAUGGCAGGUACAAAGGGCAGCCACUUAGCGAUAAGGCGCGAAUCCCGUAAAACCUGUCUCAGUCCGGAUUGGAGUCUGCAACUCGACUCCAUGAAGUUGGAAUCGCUAGUAAUCGCAGAUCAGCACGCUGCGGUGAAUACGUUCCCGGGCCUU